rnacentral:rRNA from 1 species
UACGGAGGAUCCGAGCGUUAUCCGGAUUUAUUGGGUUUAAAGGGUGCGCAGGCGGGAGAUUAAGUCGGCGGUGAAAUUUUGCAGCUCAACUGUAAAAGUGCCUUCGAAACUGGUUUCCUUGAGUGUGGAUGAAGUAGGCGGAAUUUGUGGUGUAGCGGUGAAAUGCAUAGAUAUCACGAGGAACUCCAAUUUGCGCAGGCAGCUUACUAAACCAUAACUGACGCUCAGGCACGAAAGCGUGGGGAGCAAACAGGAUUAGAUACCCGCGUA